AGUGAACGCUGGCGGUAGGCCUAACACAUGCAAGUCGAACGGCAGCACAGGAGAGCUUGCUCUCUGGGUGGCGAGUGGCGGACGGGUGAGGAAUACAUCGGAAUCUACUUUUUCGUGGGGGAUAACGUAGGGAAACUUACGCUAAUACCGCAUACGACCUACGGGUGAAAGCAGGGGAUCUUCGGACCUUGCGCGAUCGAAUGAGCCGAUGUCGGACUAGCUAGUUGGCGGGGUAAAGGCCCACCAAGGCGACGAUCCGUAGCUGGUCUGAGAGGAUGAUCAGCCACACUGGAACUGAGACACGGUCCAGACUCCUACGGGAGGCAGCAGUGGGGAAUAUUGGACAAUGGGCGCAAGCCUGAUCCAGCCAUACCGCGUGGGUGAAGGAGGCCUUCGGGUUGUAAAGCCCUUUUGUUGGGAAAGAAAUCCAGCUGGUUAAUACCCGGUUGGGAUGACGGUACCCAAAGAAUAAGCACCGGCUAACUUCGUGCCAGCCGCCGCCGUAA
rnacentral:rRNA from 1 species